rnacentral:tRNA from 1 species
GGCAGGAAAGCCAAAACAGCGGCGCCGAUCUUGUAAAUCGGAGAUUGAGACCUUUCUCUCCCGCCU